UGACACUCUACAUCUGUGGCCACAUAGUGGUGGCCAUCUGUGGCGUCGAACGGUGGAUGGCAGUGAUGGAGCCCGUGGGAGUCGUGAGUAAAUGGCUUGGUAUUGAAAAACUUUACCUCACGAAAAUAGAAGGUUGCUGUCCUACGUCAAUUCCAGUGAGCGAAGUUGUGUUCAGAUAUAGGUGGUUCACAGACCGGGUCACCCUUGUGCUUGGCAUGGAGAGAUGGACAUGAUGGUAGUUCCAAAUAAUGCAACAUCAUCAGGAGUAACUGGCUUCUUCUUUCCAGCUGCUUAAAUUGGAAAAUUUACUGCGAUGAUCAUUCUUCACUUUUAUCUACGACUGCAGUUUAAAUGUGAAUUAUUUCAUAUACACUUCACAUCAAAAUUAAUUAUGCCAGUUAAUUAUGAUCAGUGUUCAGGGGAGUGGACUGUGAAUCACUGAAUGAAUGGGUAAAGUUAUUUGAUCGUAACUGCAUAAAAUGUGUCACUAGGUGUCUUCAUGUGAGCUUUCCACUAUAAAGCCAAAAUCAAAGCCAUCUUAGUGUGGUUGUCUCAGUGGCCUAGUUUUAAGCUCUGGUGAUUAGAAGAUCUGAGCUUGACUCCUGGCGGGGGCACAUUUUCACUCAUGAUCUUUGUUGUGAGAAGUUAAUCAACUCUUCAUUUUUUUGACUGUAAGAUUAUAACUGUAACGCAAGGGCAGGGGAUUGCUUGCACGUUCUAGAUUUGAUUAAAUUGUCAUUGUGUUGCGUCUUGCAUCAUGCAGCUUAACGUAUUUCAUGUAAUGGUUUAGGCCACUUAGCUCUAAGAGCCUUUGAUUUUUUUUUUUUUUCAGCUGUUCUUGCUCAACCUGUUUUUGACCAGGACAAAGACAUGCUUGAUGCUGGUUGUUCAUUGAUUGAAGGGAAGCAGGAUUCAAGUGACAUGGGA
rnacentral:misc_RNA from 1 species